rnacentral:lncRNA from 1 species
GACCGACAUGAUGGAUUUGCAAAUAGCUAUGGAAAAAAGGAACCCGCAAGCUUCAUUGGCAAAGCCAAUAGUGCUUGUUAGGUGCAUCAGGUGAGUGAGGAGGGAGUUACAGUGCCUGUGGACACAGAAGGUAUGGGAACAACUCCAAGGUGAGGAAAGCUAUCUUGCAAAAAGAGCAAAUGCACAAUGAGUGCAUGCAGCAACUUAAGCAAGAAGUAUAAAAAAACAGAUAAAACAUGCCUAAAGACCUGGUUGAAACUCACCUUUGUGCUGAGGACUGUUAUUCAGCCUGCAGAACAUUUAAGUCACAUUUAUGGUCUUAAAAUAGGGUUUAAGUAGGACAUCAAUGUUCAUAACCUUGUAUCGGCCACAGCACAGCGAUGUUUUCAGCUCAAAUGAACAUCAUAUUCUUGCUUCAGCUAGAUGAGUGCUCUUGGCAUUGAGCCUUGAUCAAGGCUUGCAAGUGUGCACAACUUACAGCCAGCACUCAGGAACCUGAGACUGCCUUUGCAUAGACGAAACAGAAAGCACAAGUGCCCUCUCCCAAUCAAGAACAUCCUUUGUGGCUCUCCGGCACAAACGCAGAUUGGACAUGCAGUUCUGCCCUUGUUUUCUCCUGCUUCCUUCCUCUCUCUACACAACGAGAUGCCCUGUGACAGCUCAUGGGUGUCUGCCCUGGUCACAGCCCUCAGCCCUGUGCCAGGUCUCGCAGAGGGAAGGUGGGAAGGCACAGUGAGCAAUUACCUACUGCCUGUCAGGGUAGGUAUGGGAGGAAAAACUUUGCUUUUACCGUUCAAUUUCUAAAUGCAGAACAAAGCUGAAGGGGCAAAACCAAUGCCAGUUAAUUCCAAGAUGUUAGGUGUUAUGUGGAGUGAUUCACUCAUAUGGAAAAACUGGCAGGAAGAUAGCACAGAGAAAGAGCAAGCACUCAGGAGUUCCCCAGGGAAAUGCAAGGCAUAAUUUGGCCAGUAAAUAUUUAAAGAAAUAUUUGGGGUGUGUAAGUACUGUGUCCAGACAUGUUGUUUUCAAUAACAGAAGAAUCUCCUUU